rnacentral:tRNA from 2 species
GGGCGAUUAGCUCAGGUGGCUAGAGCGUCCGGUUUACACCCGGGAGGCCGAAGGUUCGAGUCCUUCAUCGCCCACCA